CAGUAGCCGCGGUAAUACGGAGGGUGCAAGCGUUAAUCGGAAUUACUGGGCGUAAAGCGCACGCAGGCGGUUUGUUAAGUCGGAUGUGAAAUCCCCGAGCUUAACUUGGGAACUGCAUUUGAAACUGGCAAGCUAGAGUCUUGUAGAGGGGGGUAGAAUUCCAGGUGUAGCGGUGAAAUGCGUAGAGAUCUGGAGGAAUACCGGUGGCGAAGGCGGCCCCCUGGACAAAGACUGACGCUCAGGUGCGAAAGCGUGGGGAGCAAACAGGAUUAGAUACCCCGGUAGUCCCUGUCUCUUAUAC
rnacentral:rRNA from 1 species